ACUGCAAUUCCCAUGCUCUACCGUCGUCCACCCAUAUCGUAUCGACCUUUGAAAACCAGCCAGCCGGCCACUUCGGGAGGGGUGGCCAAGCGGCGGCGCGGGCAGAUCGAGACGAGAGCAAUGGCCCGGCUGCUGCUCUCCGUCUCCGUCUCCCAGAGCAGCAGCUGCUGCGGCCGCCUCCCGCUCUCUUCCGCCCGACGCCGCAUUGCUGCCCGCGUCCGCGUCGCCGCGCCCACCCAAGGACAAGGAGCCUCUUUGGCCGAGGCCGAGGGUGGUGCUGGUGCGUUCGACCCCGGGGCGCCGCCGCCGUUCGGGCUCGCCGACAUCCGCGCCGCCAUCCCAAAGCACUGCUGGGUCAAGGACCCUUGGCGCUCCAUGAGCUACGUCCUGCGGGACGUCGUCCUCGUGCUCGGCCUCGCCGCCGCCGCCGCGCGCCUCGACAGCUGGCUCGUCUGGCCACUCUACUGGGCGGCGCAGGGCACCAUGUUCUGGGCGCUCUUCGUCCUCGGACACGACUGUGGGCACGGGAGCUUCUCCAACAACCCCAACCUCAACAGCGUCGUCGGCCACAUUCUCCACUCCUCCAUCCUUGUGCCCUACCACGGCUGGAGGAUUAGCCACCGGACGCACCACCAGAACCACGGCCAUGUCGACAAGGACGAGUCCUGGCAUCCUCUCCCCGAGGGGCUGUACAAGAGCCUGAACAAUGUCACCCGGAUGCUGCGCUUCAAAAUGCCGUUCCCGAUGCUCGCCUACCCCUUCUACCUGUGGUCGAGGAGUCCAGGGAAGUCGGGGUCGCACUUCCACCCGAGCAGCGACCUGUUCCAGCCCAACGAGAGCAAGGACGUGCUGACUUCGACGGCGUGCUGGCUGGCCAUGGCCGGCCUCCUCGCUGGCCUCACCUUCGCCAUGGGGCCUCUGCAGAUGAUCAAGCUCUACGCUGUCCCCUACUGGAUAUUUGUCAUGUGGCUGGACUUCGUCACCUACCUGCACCAUCACGGCCAUGACGAAAAGCUUCCCUGGUACCGCGGAAAGGUAUGCACAAUUCGCUGCUAGCUCUUGGUAAACGAUCACCAACCGUUACAGAGGCUUUUUCCUCUGUCCAAUAUAUAUAACGACGGAAGCCAACUUUGGUUCAUGAAUCAGAACGGAUGCAGUGUUUCGGUUAAGUUAAAUCAGUGGCUCGUCGACCAUUGGAUAUCGCAACCGGCUUUUCCAGCCUGUGAUAAUUCAGAGCAAAUUGAAGAUAAUGCAAAGGCACAACCAACCACAGAAACCACCAACUGUGUUCCUACAAUGCAAGUUGUCUGCAGCUUUCACUCUCAAAUCUUUCGGAUUCAUGGUUCAUACAUGUGUGGUAGCUAUCAAAAGUAGCUAGAACGAUUCAGUUCUGUGUCAAAAAGAACCCCUUUACCUUGUGCCACAGGCAGCUUGGGAUCAUAAAUUGACCAAGUCCCAGCAUUCUUUAUCUUCUCCCGGAUCAUAUAUCAGAGUAGUAUCACUUUGAGAUUGUCAAAUAUUUCGCAUUCAUGAUUGUCAUUGACUGAUCAGUUAAAAAGGACCACACUCGAUCCAAUUGUAGAAGUGAGAUAAGGAGGUACUUUGAAUAAGAUUGUUGUUUAAUUUUUCAUGUGUGAAUCAGGAGUGGAGCUAUCUUCGGGGAGGCUUGACAACGCUUGACCGGGACUACGGAUGGAUCAACAACAUCCACCACGAC